rnacentral:rRNA from 1 species
GUGGGGAAUCUUGCACAAUGGGCGAAAGCCUGAUGCAGCCAUGCCGCGUGAAUGAUGAAGGCCUUAGGGUUGUAAAAUUCUUUCGUCAGGGAUGAUAAUGACCGUACCUGAAGAAGAAGCCCCGGCUAACUUCGUGCCAGCAGCCGCGGUAAUACGAAGGGGGCUAGCGUUGUUCGGAAUUACUGGGCGUAAAGCGCACGUAGGCGGACUUUUAAGUCAGGUGUGAAAUCCCGGGGCUCAACCUCGGAACUGCAUUUGAAACUGGAAGUCUUGAGAUCAGGAGAGGUUAGCGGAAUACCGAGUGUAGAGGUGAAAUUCGUAGAUAUUCGGUGGAACACCAGUGUCGAAGGCGGCUAACUGGACUGAUACUGACGCUGAGGUGCGAAAGUGUGGGGAACAAACAGGAUUAGAAACCCGGGUAGUCC